GACUGAGUGAGCAGGCAGCGCCGUGGGGAGCCUGCGAAAAGGCCGGAAAGAUGGCGGCCUCCUGGAGGCUAGGCUGUGGCCGGCGGAUGCUGCGCUCUCUCCUAGGCUUCGGCGCCCGGCGAGGCCUGGGGCUGGUUACGGGGGCUGCUGGGUGGCCUGCCGGCGGCGGGGCUGCUUGGAGAUGGCUUCACAGCACGCAGUGGCUGCGGGCUGAUCCUAUUAAGAUACUAAUGCCAUCCCUGUCUCCGACAAUGGAAGAAGGGAACAUUGUGAAAUGGCUGAAAAAGGAAGGUGAAGCUGUGAGUGCUGGAGAUGCCUUAUGUGAAAUAGAGACCGACAAAGCUGUGGUUACCUUAGAUGCAAGUGAUGAUGGCAUUUUGGCCAAAAUAGUGGUUGAAGAAGGAUCUAAAAAUAUACGGCUAGGUUCACUAAUUGGUUUGCUAGUUGAAGAAGGAGAAGAUUGGAAACAUGUUGAAAUUCCCAAAGAUGUAGGUCCUCCAGCAGCCGCUUCACAGCCCUCAGCGCCUCGCCCCACCCCAGGGCCACCGACUCCUGUGCUUCUCAAAAAGGAACAGUCACCAGGGACAUUGCAGCUCCGGUUAAGUCCAGCUGCCCGUAAUAUUCUGGCAAAGCACAAACUGGAUGCCAGCCAGGGCACAGCCACUGGCCCUCGGGGGAUCUUCACCAAAGAGGAUGCUGUCAAGCUUGUCCAGUUGAAACAGACGGGCAAGAUCAUGGAAUCCAGACCGACCCCAGCCCCUCCUGUAACUCCCACUGCACCUUUGCCCGCACAGGCCCCAGCCCCGCCAUCUUAUCCCCGGCCCAUGGUCCCACCAAUUUCAACUCCUGGACAGCCUAACGUAGCGGGCACAUUCACUGAAAUCCCAGCUAGCAAUAUUCGAAGAGUUAUUGCCAAAAGGCUGACUGAAUCUAAAAGUACUGUACCUCAUGCAUAUGCUACUGCUGAUUGUGACGUUGGAGCUGUUUUAAAAGUUAGACAAAAACUGGUCAAAGAUGACAUUAAAGUGUCAGUAAAUGAUUUUAUCAUCAAGGCAGCAGCUGUUACCCUUAAACAAAUGCCAAGUGUCAAUGUAAGCUGGGAUGGAGAGGGCCCAAAGCAACUGCCUUUUAUUGAUAUUUCAGUGGCUGUGGCAACAGAUAGAGGUUUAAUUACACCAAUCAUAAAAGAUGCUGCAGCCAAGGGCAUACAGGAAAUUGCUGACUCUGUGAAGACUCUAUCGAAGAAAGCAAGAGAUGGGAAAUUGUUACCUGAAGAAUACCAAGGAGGAUCUUUCAGGACAGACCAUCUUCAACUUUGCCCCCAGCAUCCAGCAAAGUGCCCAACACAGUAAUUCCUCGAUUAGUGUUUGAAAGAAGGCAUGAUCUGUUGCAUUACCUAGAAAUAAAAUAAUGAAUAUGAAGAGAGGAAAGAAAACAAGACAAGAGAUAGUCUCUGACUCAACUAAAGAAAUCAGAAUUUUGACACCGUUCAGUGACCCAUGGGAGAGAAGAAAGACACAAAAAUCUGUGCCCCUGCCUGUGAUUGAUGAAUGCUGGAGCUCUGACAGCAUGUGACUCAGGUAUUCCUAAGAACAUAAAGCCUUGGAAAAGGGCAAGCAUACUACUCAGGAAGAACUUCAAAUAAAAAUUAUCACUAAGCAAACACUGAGGGAGAGCUGUCUUCAGUAAGAAAUAAUGCCUUAGGAAUGCACCAGGAUUCAGAACAAAUAAAUCUAGAGAAAGAAGAGAUUGUAUCCAACGGAACCUGUUCUGUUAGCUGGAAAGUUAAGAGGGAUGACUCAUAGCUCUCCUGGGUCACAUAGUACAGUAGGUAAAUCAAUGACAUGGUAGCAAAGAAUCUACCGCUUCUUAGUUCGGUAUGCUUUUAGCUCAGGGGAAGAGAGGUAUUUCAUUCUAUGACAGCCAGUAUGCCACAGAGCUAUUUGGUUGAUAGGGUCAAAGAAAGUAUCAAUAUAGAGAACUCUCCAAGUUGGUUAUAGUACAUAGCAGUGACAGUCUGAAGCUGUAUCGCAUUGCACAGCUGUGUUGGUGAACCCCCUAAGGUGCUGUUAACUUGUGGAGUGCUGGUUUAUCAGGAUCCCUGCGGCCAGGGUUAUAUUGUUCCCAGCUCAGCCCCACCCUCCUCCAGGAGGAUUAAUGGUGGAAAACCCCCGACGGGCACUGAACUAAACAACACUCAGUAAUGUUUCCAUGAAACCUCUACAGUAAAUGAGUAUUGAAAGGAGGCCGUGUUCAGAACCUUGGGCCCUGGUGCAAGGAGCCGAGAAUCCAGAUAGCAUACAUUCUCAUCACUGUCUUUCUGCAGGGAACAGACAAAAGCUUUCCUGCCAGAGAGGCUUGUUGGGUUUGAGGGUUUCUAAUAGGCCUGUUUUCAAAAUGAACAAACACGUGUCUGUUCCUUUGCAAAGAUCUUGCUGGCCUAGAGGAGGCCAAUGCUGGGGCAUCAGAGUAGGGCAGUCAGGACCUCAGUGGCUGUAUUUUGAAGACCCUGGAGGCUUAUUUCUUCUCAAAACCAGAUUUGAGUGGCUCUCUUUGCCUGGCCUCUAGUGUUCCCUCAUCCAGCAUCAUUGGAACAUUUCCUGCCCCAAAACACAUCAAUACACUGACAAGGUGGCAAAGAGACCCCAAGCUGAUAGUUCACCUCGAAGUGAUUUUGGGCUUUGCUGCCAGAAUCAUCCUCAUUUACACUAUUGCCACUUGUGUUUUGUUGUUGGUAAGGAAAGAACCCAGCAGGUGGUCAAGAGUGCAUUGUCUGGCUCUAGUCUGGGUUCUUUGUAAAUGCAGUUAACUGGCCGAUUAACUGAUUCUCACACUUCCUCUCUCACCUUCUAAGCAUGCAAACAUUAGGAGGCUCAACCUCAAAUCUAUUUUUCUAUAUUUCUGGUGGUUCCUGAGUACUUCCCUUAGAGCCAGUCUGCCUGAGUUUAUGCUACUUCUGUCGGACACAGGCCACGCUGUUCAAGCUCUCUCUAUGCCUUUUUCCUCACCUUAAAAAUAGGGGGUCAUAAUUAGAAUACCUACCUCAUGGACUUCUAGAGAGGAGUAAAUGAGUUAACACGUGUGGAAUGCUUAAGUGUUAGGUGCCAUAGUUUUUAAGCCCUUUGGCAUGCACAGAUUCUCAGAUUCAACCUUGCAGUUGCACAGCAUAGAACAUGUAGCUGAAAGGGAUUGACUGUGUGGCCAGCUUUUUGUUUUUAUAAAGGAGACAACUGAAAUCCAGAGAAGAGAUAGGUCUUUUCCCAGCAUCACAUGGCUGUUAGAGACAGAGCGAGAAGCAGCAUCAGAGCUCCCUGCCACUUGAAGCAUCUUUCUCGAGAUCCCUGGCCACCGGACAGAGGAUCAGAUUCUUACAGAGAGGUUGCAUCUGAAGGCGUGGUAUGAAAAUGAAUAACCUGAGAAAGCACAGCAGGAUGUGAGUAAAUUAAAGCAUUGGGGAUUUUCCCUUGGGUUUUUAGGCAAAGAGGACCUACCUUCUAUAAAAACUUAAAUGAAAAAAGUACUAACAUAAGUGAACGUAGGGGCAAGUCCAAAGCCAAGAUGCCAUUUUUGCUCUAAGUAAAUUCACUGAGGGAAUUUCCCCCCUGAAAGAAAGAAGAAGGAAAGAAAGAAGAAAGAAAGAAAGAAAGAAAGAAAGAAAGAAAGAAAGAAAGAAAGAAAGAAAGAAAGAA